UUAAGACAGAUGUGAAAUCCCCGGGCUYAACCUGGGAACUGCGUUUGUGACUGSCNGAGCUAGAGUCUUUCAGAGGGAGGUAGAAUUCCACGUGUAGCAGUGAAAUGCGUAGAUAUGUGGAGGAAYACCGAUGGCGAAGGCAGCCUCCUGGGANAUGACUGACACUCAUGCACGAAAGCGUGGGGAGCAAACAGGAUUAGAUACCCUGGUAGUCCACGCCCUAAACGAUGUCWACUGGUUGUUGGGUAACUUGUUUACUC
rnacentral:rRNA from 1 species